rnacentral:rRNA from 1 species
CCUACGGGAGGCUGCAGUGAGGAAUAUUGGUCAAUGGACGAGAGUCUGAACCAGCCAAGCAGCGUGAAGGAUGACUGUCCUAUGGGUUGUAAACUUCUUUUAUAAAGGAAUAAAACGAGGCACGCGUGCCUUUUUGCGUGUACUUUAUGAAUAAGCAUCGGCUAACUCCGUGCCAGCAGCCGCGGUAAUACGGAGGAUCCGAGCGUUAUCCGGAUUUAUUGGGUUUAAAGGGUGCGUAGAUGGGUUGUUAAGUCAGUUGUGAAAGUUUGCGGCUCAACCGUAAAAUUGCAAUUGAUACUGGCAGUCUUGAGUACAGUAGAGGUAAGCGGAAUUCGUGGUGUAGCGGUGAAAUGCUUAGAUAUCACGAAGAACCCCGAUUGCGAAGGCAGCUUACUAAACUGUGACAGACAUUGAGGCACGAGAGUGUGGGUAUCAAACAGGAUUAGAUACCCGUGUAGUC